rfam:Aschersonia aleyrodis RCEF 2490 scaffold_56, whole genome shotgun sequence.
UAUAAGUAUACAAAGAAACUAUUACGGAAUUUAAGCUAUGUAUUAAAGAGAAUUAAUUAUAUAAAUAAGAUAUUUAUCUUAUAAAUAUAUAAACUCUAAGAGAAAUCUAUUAUUAAACGAAGUGAAUUGAAAUAUCUUAGUAACUUUAGGAAAAGAAAUCAAAAGAGAUUCUAUGAAUAGCGUGAGUGAAAGUAGAAAAGCCUAAAAAGUAGAACGGACUAAAAGCUGUUUAAAUAUUGGGGAACCUUCCUCAAAGGCUAAAUAUAAUACAUAAGCGAUAGUGAAAGGAGUACCAUGAGGGAACCAAAACAAAAUAGUAGUUUUAUAAGCAGUUCACGAGUAUAUACUCUAGAACGUACCUUUUGCAUAAUGGGUCACCAAGUUAACAUUAGAUGCGAGCUGGCUUUACCGUCACGCGUAGAUAAACCGAACGUUGAAAUAACGAACAAGUGUCUAAAGUUAGACCCGAAGCCAGGUGAUUUUACCAUAGUCAGGAUUAUAAAAGUCCGAACGGGUGAUUGUAGCAAAAAUCUCCGAAGAACUGUGGUAGGUAUAGUGAAAGACAAUACUGACCUGGAUAGCUGGUUUUCUGCGAAACCUAUAAUAGUAGGCAAUUCAAAUAAAUAUCUUAGCAGGUACAGAAUUUAAUCUCAGACAAAGCGUAUUUUUACGUUUUAUAUUGUACAAAUUGGGGGACCGUGAAGGUUUUAUCAGUGAGUAUGUAGACUCGGAAUGGCAAAGAUAUAUCUUGAAUGAUCAGACAUAGAAUGAUAAGGUUGUAUGUCAAAAGGGAAACAGCCCAGAACAAGAGUUAAGGUUCCUAAAUUAUUAGUUAAGUGAAAUUAAGAAAGUUUUUAUUAAAGUCGACAAGGAGAUAGGCUUAGAAGCAGCCACAAUUUAAUGACCUCGUAACAGAGCGCUUGUUAAGUUAUAAAAGCAUCGAAAAUUUAACGGAUCUAAACUAUAUACCGAAACCUUGUCCAUAACAUAUUAUAAUUAUUACAUAAUUAUAAUUCAAUGGGGUAGCAGAACGUUGAGCUAAAUUACGAAUUUUAUUUUUUAAAUAAAAUGAUAAUUAUUUAACUCAAGUGAGAAUGGUGACAUGAGUAACUAAAAGAAAAUUUUUUCCGCCUUAAGCUUAUGGAUUUAUUUAAGUAACGGCCUCUAAGUUUAUAUUAUCUAAAGAUUUAAACGAUGAGAAAAUCUUUUUUACUAAGGACGACAUUUUAGUGUAAAAUGUACUGGAAAAAUAGUAAAUAUAUUUAUAGUGGAGCAAGCUCAUAUUAUAAAUGAAGUAUAACCGUACCUAGAGUCUGAAACAAGUAAGCUAGUAGAGAAUACGAAGGCGUAAAUGGGCUAACAAUCAUAAAGGAACUCGGCAAAUUGACUACCGUAACUUCGGGAUAAGGAGGGCUCAUUCUUCUUGAUUAAUAUCAAGUAAAAAGGAAGAAGCAUGAAAUAAUGUUGUACGACUGUUUAAUUAAAACACAGCACUCUGCUGAAAGAUUAAAAAAUCUAAGUAUAGAGUGUGAAAUCUGCCCGGUGCCGGCUGGUUAACAGAGAUAAUUGGGUAUAUUACUAUCUGAUGUCAACGGAAACCCCGGUUAAAGGCGGCCUUAACGUGAGGGUUCGUAAUAGGGUCCUAUUUAAAUUCGGCUAAUUGCUGGAACGGCUAUAAAUAUAGAGUUAAAAAAGGCUUACUUACAAAAGUAAGUACUAGACAACUACAUACUAGUCCCAAUCAGCAGGAAAGAUUAAAUAAAUUAAUUAUGGAUGAUAAUUACAAAUUUUGACUAGGAGGAUUUGUGGAAGGAGAAGGUUCUUUAGUAGUAUCUUUAGUAAAAAAUACUAAACUUACACAUGGUUUAGCUUUACAGCCUGAAUUUAAUGUAGUUCAACAUGAAAAAGGUAUAGCUAUACUACAUUCAUUAAAAGCUAUUUUUGAAGAUAAAGGUUCUGUACAUAAAAAAUCAGGUUCUCAGGACGUAUGAGUUUAUUCACUAAAAGGAACUAACAACAUACAUACUUUAAUACUACCUUUUUUCGAAAAAUAUGUAAUAACUUAUUCUAGCAAGUUUAAAGGAGAUGUGUUUGAAAAAUUUUCUCUUAUUAUUAAUAAAUUAAAUGAUAAUAGAAAUAGUACUUUUAGUAGAGAAGAAAUAAUUAAUUUAAUUGAAUUAGUUUAUUCAUAUAAUCCUGAUACAAAAGGUAAAUCUAGAAAAAGAACACUACAAGAAACUAUAGACAUAGUUAACCAAAGUCACAAAUAGUACAAAUUUGGGGUUAAAUUUUAUUUAGCUUAAUUAUUUAAAAUCUUCAGAGGCCAUACGCCGAACAGUUUACCUAUCUAAGCAAUACUUAGGUGGAAAUUAUUAUACAUCCUUCUGUGUAACAUCAGAAUAUAAUAAUACUAAACGAUCUAGUUGUAAAUUGAUGAUAUGGUCCACUCGGAUUCUAAAGAAAGUAAUUUCAUUCCGAUUGCCUAAGGUAGCGAAAUGCCUUGGCCGUUAAAUGCGGUCUUGCAUGAAUGGUGUAACGAUACAACAGCUGUCUCUAUGAUUGACCCGGUGAAAUUGGAAUAGCAGUGCAGAUACUGCUUACCUCUAGGUAGACGAGAAGACCCUAUGCAGCUUUACUGUCACUAAUUAUAGAUUAUGAUAGACAAUUUUCAGAUUAUAAGGUAAUUGAUAUAUAACCAUGAGAAACCUUUAUUUUUCUUUCAUAUGAAUGAAUUGGUAUAGGAAUAUAAGCAGAUUAUAAUUAUGGCCUUACUAAACCAAUUUUAUUGAUUAUAGUCUGUACUUAUAUUAGUAGACCAGCCUAAUUCAACUUAUUAUAUUUAUUAUAGUAGGUACCCUUUGGGAAGGAACUAUCGCUAGGGGACAGUUUAUGUGGGGCACAGACCCUGUAAAGAGUAAACAGGAGUGUCUAAAAAUUUAUGAAUAUUUUGUUUGCAAUUUUGAAUAGUAUUACUAUUCUUAAUCAUAUACAAUUAAUUAUAUUUACAUUUACUGUAAAUAUAGCUAAAAUUAGGUAGGAUUUUCACUAUAUAGAAAUUAGAGAUAAUAAAGGUAUUAUGAACUUGUUCUAAUAUCUUUUAACUAUCAUACUUUGGUGGUUAUGUUUACAUUAUCUAAAAAGCUCAACGGCUUAAUCCUGCCUUACUGUUUGAUUAUCUACAAAUCUUACAGUUGCGUAAGCAGGGCAUAGGAUCACAAGAUGCAACAAGGAAAGAUCUUGGAUUAUUGGAAAAGCUACGCUAGGGAUGUUUGUCCUUUAAUAUUUUAUAUACUAUAACUAAAAAUAGUUAUAAU